GGCUAAAGCUCAGUGGUGGAGUGCUUGCCUAGCAUGUGCAAGGCCCUGGGUUCAAUCCCCAGUACUGCCA
rnacentral:tRNA from 1 species